GUGUAUUCGACUUUCUCCCCUCCUGCCCAUGAUGGAUUUUAAAUGUGCUGCAGCAAUCCUUUGGCUAUGCUACCCGUGGUUUUCACACAAAGUGCUAUUUUAACGUCUCCAACGCUCUUGACGGUAAUUUCCUGACAUUCCUGUAGACCAUUAUUAGAAGAUGUGAACCAAAGCACUGGUAGCAAUGAUGGAAUCAGGGUCCAUUGGAUUUGAUGACUGCAAGAUGUGGGUCAGCCGAACCUCAAGACAAGAGAGACUCGGGUUUCUGGCAAGGAUGUUGGACGCUGGAGGCUUACGGAAGUGGGGGCAGGAGGAGAAAUGACUGGGGGAGACGCGGGUCACGCUGGGAGUGGCUGCUGUGGUCCUAGUCAAGAGGACAAGUUUGAAAUGACAGAGAUUCAGAUCCCGAGUCCAUCACUCAGGACCUGCAUGGAAUUAGCCCGUGGUUUCCCACCUUGAUUCUUCCUUCCCUUAUCUGAACGGGAUGAACGUGCGUCCCUCGUAGAGGUGGGUGAGCCAAGCAGGGCUCUGCACCUGCCAUUAAGCUGCAGCACCACGUAGGGCAGCUGUGCAAUGCCACUGGAACUAAGAGAGGCCAUUAAAUCACCAGGCGUUUUACUACGGACGCGUUUUCCAGAUGUGGAGAAGCAAGCGCACGCUGGGAGAAUGGAUUGUUUUAGGGUUUGGACUACGAUUUCCUGCCGAGGUAGAAACCCUGCCUCUCUUACUGGUUCAUCUACUGCAGAUCAACAAGUUGUUUGGAAAUAUGUGACCACGCAUGCCUCGCUGUUUUAAAGGGGACUUUUAUUAAAGACAAACAAACAACAAAACAAACAAAAAAGAAACGAAGACCAUCCUCUCUCCCUCGACCGUGUUGUGGGGCUUAAGGUGAGGCAGAACAUCCUGGCGGAAGAAUGUGGCAGAGGGGAGCAGCUUGCACGAUGUUCAGAAGAACAUGAGAGAGAUGCCACUCGCCAGGAUGACAGUUUUGAUCUCUUUAAUGACUGUGUCAUGACUUACAGACUUAUAAAAUGCUUUUGUGGGUACCACACCCAUUCCCCAAAGACCACCCUCUCUGCAUUUCUCUCCUCCGGCACUAAAGAUAUUAAAUUGCGUGCAAGGAUGAUACCUUCUGAAAACACCUUCUGAGAGGUCAGAGGGUUCCUGGAACGGUCGUUGUACCUCUUCAAAAAAGGUGCUGCUGUGGGGAUGCAGGGCAGAGUUGGGAGCUUUCUGGGCCUUGCAGCAGUUUCAGGAUCUAUGUGUAGGACACACCCGCGGGAGGGAGCUGCCCUGGUCUCUACACUUACCACCAUUGAUGUCAGGCGCUGAGAGAGGAGUUCACAGUAGGAGCGGGGAAGGGGUGCUUGCUGGGCACCCUGAUGAUCAAGAUGGCCCUGCUUUAAGCACACGACUCCAACUCUUCUCUGUCCACUCUUUUUUAACCCAAGGGAGCAUUUCCCCUCCUACAUGCCUACGCCUCACUCUUCUGCAUACACCACAAGCUUCAGAGGAUGCUGGAAGAAUGUCAAUGAAUUCAGGAUUCACAAAGAACAUGGGGCUGUGUAAAUGAACAAUUUUUAUCUGGACUCUUCCAGCGACCUGGAAGAUCUCUUGCAGAGAGGUCUCGCGGUGCGUCUGAGCAUCAGGAGUUACAACAUUCCACACAAUGAAUUCUCUUUUUCUUCCCUAAGCCCUUUCCAAACCUUCAGUCCUUUGACCUGAAAAAGGGAACACAGUGUUCCCGUGUUCCCAUUUGAUUCUUCUCUUUUUUUCCUUUGCUAAGAGUGUUUCUUGAGGUUGAUGUGAAAAUGGCUAAAGUAGACUUGGUUCAUUGCACUUCCCGGCCCAUGUCAGAUGCCCGAGGAGGGCUUGUGGGUGUGAACCGGUGCUUCCUAUUUAGCAAUCUCCCCAUUUCUUUCUACUUUCUUUUUUUCCUGGAGACGAAUUACCUCUCCUGACAGACUGAUGACCUCUUGACGGGACUCUACUGCGAGACAAUCCAACCGGGUUCCUCCGGGUCUCAGAGGAGGAAAUGCUUUGCCACCACCCAGCUAGUGUGGCUCCCCUGUCACCCACCUGUCCUGGUAUUGUCAGGCCCUCUCAAAAGAUUUCGAGCCGAGUUUUCUGUGAGCCCAGAGCCUCGGCCUCGGUGGAAAUCCGAGGGCGGCUGGUGUGGAGCGCGACGUUACAGAAGCUAAACGCUUUUGAGACAAUCCAAGUCAGGCUUGCAGAACAGCCAAGACAGGCAGCAAGGAACAAAAAAGGAGCCGGUGGCUUCCUCUCAGCGUUUGGAAGGAGUGGUAAUUAUCCAACCUCCCCGUCCUGUCCCUCUCAACCACAGCUAAACAAGGCUGGGCACUUCACACUAGAAGCCAACCCCCGACUGGAGUCUUCUAACCCGGUUCAAAAGUUUCCUUUCAACCUGGACCAUUCAAUUCCGUCUUUCUUCCUUCCCUUUUAUCCCUGGAACUGUAGCAGGGCUCUCUGGAGGAGCGAGGAAAUCAAUGCCUCACCUGCCUGCGCACCGGACUCGGCUAGCCUGGCCUGAAAGGGGGGCGCGCACUUCCUCGGCACCCCCACUGGCUGCCGCUCACCUUUACUGCUCUCCCGAAAACAGGCCACGGUUCUGCAGCCCAGGGGAGCCUGGAGCCCCGGGACGGAAGAACUUUCCCAAGGGCCUUGGGGGCUCCGGCCCAUGGCGGAAGGUGAGGCCGCCUGGGUUCUCUGCGGGGCCGGCCACUUCAACGCCGCCUCUUGGCCUCCUGAUGGACGACGAACACGUCCCAGAGUUGCAGGCAACGGCUGGCUGUCCUGUCCUUUAGGCCAGUGGCCCCUCUUAGAAACAGUAUUAUCCAGCGGGUAAGGAUGCUGAAUCCAGCAGCCUGGCUUCCAUCCACGCCCUGGCAUUCUUGAGCCACAUGAUUGCCCACCAAUAAUUCGACUUCAGGAAGCCUCGGUUUUCUCAUCUGUAAAAGGGCGCGAUCAUAUUAGUCCUUGUUUCCCAGGUUCCUGGUAAUGAUGGAGCACUUACAGAGCCCAGCCUGAGAGGGGUGGGAUCCACGCCAUCGGACGCAGCAGGAUGGGCCGGAUAGAUUGGGUCUGGUAUCCUGGAGAACAGGAAGAAUAAAAACCCCUUGAGUCCCUUUUGCUGAUGUCUGAUUGGGAGGUCACAUGCCUUGCUACUCUGGUUUUGUUUUUCCAUCCACCAUUUAAGUUUAAAAAUAAAUACAUACAUGAAUAAAAAAGGCAGUGAAACUUUUUCUUAAAGAGAGAUCCUCACAGCCUUCUGUUUCUGUUUUUCUGCUGAACUGGGAAUUAAAGCCAGAGGUGCUCUGCGACCGAACUAUCUCCCCAGCCCUUUUUAUUUUGAGGCGGGGGUCUUACGAAGUUGCCAGGCUGACCUCAAACUUGCCGUCCUCCUGCCCCGGCCUCCUGAGUACCUGGGAUUCCAGGCUAUGCACCCUGGUGCCGGCUCCUACAGCCCUUUUAAGCCUCCCUGUCCGGCACAAAGCUCUUGACCACAAAUUGAGCUGCAGGUGACCGACAGCUUGCACCUGCCCCAUCCCUUCUCCUCCCUCGACAGCAACAGCGUAUCCAGCAGCGAAUUCCCUCCCUGCACACCUCACCUCUACUCCAGAAGCAACUUAAUUGCCAUUAAUCACCAGCUCCAGCGGCUGGGCUAGAGAAGGAACCCCUCUACCUGCCUCUGGGGCUCUGAGGUUCAGCCCUCCCUGCCACUCACCCCUUGGGCCGACAGGCUGUUUGUUGGGCUAAGGAAGAUGAUACUAGAGGACUCAAUCAAGGAGGGGAAUCACACCCAGUGCGGCUUGACCCUUUCUCUGCCUCCAUAACA